GCCCUUGUGGUGUAAUUGGAAGCACGUCCGUCUAGCGGUUGGAAAGUCCAGAGUUCAAAUUCAUGCGAGGGCA
rnacentral:tRNA from 1 species